GAAAUACACAGACGAGAAUAUGCACUAAAAAAUAUAAUAUGUAUAUAUUUUGUUCAAGAUCUUCACAUGUACAUGUAUACCAUAUAUUAUAAUGAUGUAGGCUCAAUAUACAUUUCAUGAUAUACUUCCUGUAACAGUUAUAUACAUGUAUCUUUUGAUCCCCUUUGGAAAGGUUCGAACAGAUUUAUAAAAAUUUAUUAGAAUAAUUAUGUUUUGGUGCCCAGAUUUCAAAUUUUGGAACCUUUAUUUUUUGUUUGGGGGUGGGGACUGUUGAGGGUACAUGUAUGUGGACCCUUAUACCCUUGUAAAGGUAAACAAUCAAAUUGCAUGCUUAACCAAGAUCAUCCACUAAGACUAAAUUAUGUUAUAUGUAUACAUGUAUAUAUCCCCUUAAAUAUACAUAAUAUAUUGGUAUACAAAUAUUUGAAUCAGAAAAAAAGAGAAUAUAAUAAGAAAAAAAGAAUAAAAGAGAAAAAAAAUAAAGAAAA
rnacentral:lncRNA from 1 species